UACGUAGGGGGCAAGCGUUGUCCGGAAUUAUUGGGCGUAAAGCGCACGUAGGCGGCUUAGCAAGUCGGAUGUGAAAUCCCUCGGCUCAACCAAGGAAGUGCAUCCGAAACUGCUGAGCUUGAGUACGAAAGAGGAUCGCGGAAUUCCCGGUGUAGAGGUGAAAUUCGUAGAUAUCGGGAGGAACACCAGUGGCGAAGGCGGCGAUCUGGGUCGAUACUGACGCUGAGGUGCGAAAGCGUGGGGAGCAAACAGG
rnacentral:rRNA from 1 species